CCCGUAAGAGGCUUUCAUUUUGUAUAAUUCCUCCACUUGCUAGGUGGACUGCUGCCAGAUUCACGAAACGCUUCAGAAAGCCAAGGAAAUGUUCCAAGUUUACUUGGUUGAAUUUUGUUUUCCAGUGAAUUUGGGGUCAGCAACGGCAACUAGAAGCUAACCUCCACUGGCAUUCCGGAACAAGAAACGGGCGUGGUGCCCCCGAAAACUCUUGAGUUCACUGUCUUUCUGGCCGUUUCAAGGGCUCUGCAAUCUUUACACCCAACAUGGGACUCGAACUCACAACCCUGAGAUCAAGAGUCACAGGUGGCCCUGGCUGAGUGAGUCAGGCACCUCAGGCUUGUUUCUAUCUAAAAGGUGUGUCAGAAGGAAAAGAUGAAUACGAGCCUCUUGGAGCUAUUGCUGCUACCUGAAGCAAGAUCCUAUGGAGACUACUGCCCAGUGGCUACACAGCACGGUGGUUUAGAACCAUUGUUGGAUGCUGGACCCAGUGGGGUGGCUUCCAACAACAGCUGGACCUUACUGACCAGACGAGUGUCGUUGGGCAGCAGCUUGACUCAUUGACUCUUCACCAGAGCCCUAUGAGGUAGGUACUAGUAUUGUCCCCACUUCACAGAUGAGGAAACUGAGGUGCACGGAGAGUUUAUAUGGCCUGCCUAAGGUCACCCUGUCCGAGCCAAUCGUUUAAAUUGGGGCCUUGGUGUACGAGAAGCCAGGAUGAAAAUGGAAGCUUCAAGUGAAAUGCUUUGUCCCUUUUCCCGCCGUAUCUCCCAGCCCCUUUCCGCAUCUGUCAUCAACGUAAUUGGCUCUUGUCUUGACACAUUUUCCUUCUCCCAUGUCUCUGCGAGUUCCAUCCGAACUCAUCUCACUUCCUUCCAAGUGGGAAGCAUCUGUUGCCAAGCCCGUGAUACGGACUUGGAGGAGGAAUGGAGGGGAUGGUGGGGUGUCCCCUGGACGGAGAAUACUGAGAAGUGCUGGGAAUCCUCUCGCGGAGCUCUGUGACAUCCGCUCGGCUCUAUGUGCAUGCCCUACCUCGGCUUCUUGUGCUUCAUGGGUGAUGGGGAGGAGAAUUUUCCUCUGUCCUGCAAGGCUCUUUUAGCAGCUCUAAGAAUUAAAUUGACAUGAGACAGAUUCACAUGGGAAAAUCACAUUUGGUUCUGCAGGUACAACGGCGCCAUAAGAAUGUGAGGUCCACAGGCAGUCAGGCAGUUGAGGCUCAUGUGCCGUCCAGAGCUAAGGAGAAGCGGGGAGGGGUCCGGGGCUUCGGCGUCAAGGAGGACAUUUCACAGGAAGCUGAAAGAGAGUAAGUGACUGGUAAACCAGUGUUUCCAGGGGCUGCCAUAAGCAAUGGAACAUGGAGGAAUUUUAACAAACAGAUUUUGCUGGAUUUCUCCCCAUCUGCACACCUAGUUCUUAUGAUACUGCAGUUAUCUAUGGCUCUCGUUUCCUUCCUGGAGCAGGUCUUACAUCCAGAUUCUUUUAGGCAGUUAGGCGGAAGGGCAAGGGGCCUUCCUGAACCUUCUAUUUCUUAAAAAGAAGCAGGCUAAAACAAUGCAUAUGCCAAAGAGUCACGUUUUGGUUUGGCAAACUUUGCUUCCAUCCGAUAUGCCUAAGAGUCACCUGGAGAUACUGUGGAGAUGAAGAGUCUGAUUCAGUGGGUCUGGGGAGGGGCCUGGGAUGUGUAUUUAUUUUUUUUAUUUUUUAACGUUUAUUUAUUUUUGAGACAGAGAGAGACAGCAUGAAUAGGGGAGGGUCAGAGAGAGGGAGACACAGAAUCUGAAACAGGCUCCAGGCCCUGAGCUGUCAGCACAGAGCCCGACGCGGGGCUCGAACUCACGGACUGCGAGAUCAUGACCUGAGUCGAAGUCGGCCGCUUAACCGACUGAGCCACCCAGGCGCCCCUGGGAUGUGUAUUUUUCACAAGCUCCUUGGUGAUGCUAAUUCCGCAGGGCCCUGGCUUAAAUUUUGAGUAUAAGUGCUACCUCAUCUCUUUUCCCCAGAAGAAGGGACACAUGAAUAUGGGUGAGUCUGAUGUCUGGGAGAUUCAUGUCAAAAUAAUGAAGCUACAUAAUAAAGAUCUCAAAUGAGAAAAAAAGAAAAACCAAACAAACAAAAGAAGGGACACACAUCAGUUACUUACGCGGUGAGCAUUCAGGGCAUUUCAGGACUGUAACAGGGAGCAUGGCUAGGUCCUCCUAGAAUAUCCUGCUAAUGAGAAUCACGAUUUAUUAUGAGUCCUCAUGAGCCCUAAGCUUCCCGUUAGUGGGCUCUUAAAUUCUCCCAGUUUGUGGGGGUGGGGAUGUGUGGUGAUGGGGUGAUGUGUGAUUGGACAUAAUGCAUGCCCACUGAGCUGUAGCUGUGCCCACUAACCCAGUCUCCAGGUCUAGGCUGCUGCUGUCCCAUUCCUGACCUUACCUCUGUUUCCUUCUCAGAGUUAAGUCUGUAGAAUUCCAGCUCCUUGACUGGAGCCCUGACCACCUGCCUCAUCUUGCCAGUCCCCCUUUUUUAAAUAUAUUUUUUAUUUUUUUAUUUUAGAAAGAGACCAGGAGCAGGGGAGAGGGGCACAGAGAGAGGGAGAGAAUCUCGGCGCAGAGCCCAAUGUGGGGCUUGGUCCCACAACCUUGGGAUCGUGACCUGAGCCAAAAGCAAGAGCCAGUCGACGCUCAACAACCUGAGCCAUCCAGGCGGUCCUUGCCAGUCCCUCUUGUAACAGCACGUGACCUUGAUCUUAUUCCUUGAGACCCUGGCAUUCUCCUCUAAGGUGGCCUGAAAUGCUCACUUGUCCACUUGCCUGACUACAGCUAUUAUCACUGAGCUGUGAGGUUUGGUAAUCAAAUAUUUUGCCCGACGUUCCAGAAGGGUGAUUUUUCCAGUUCUGUCAUUUUAUUAGUUGAAUUUCAUUUAUAAGAAAGAGUUUCUCUUGUUAAGUGGGAAUGAACUACAGGUUCCUCAACAAGAGCACUCUUAACAAAAUUAUCGUAUCACUGUGGAUUGAUGUAUUUAAAUCUUUUAACCUUUUUAUAAUCUGUUAGGAGUCCCUAUUCUUUUUAUGUCCACAUUGUCUCCAGUUUGGCUAGCGUGGGCCCUCUCUUGCUACCCCCUGUAUCCUGUGGAUAUGUCCCCAUUUCUCUGUGAGCCUUUCCUUCCUUUCUAGUAUAAAAUAAUUCUGGCUCCCUUUCAUUUUCCCUGCCACAGACAUGGCUCUGACCAAUUCUCCAUGUAGAUUCCUUCUAGAGGGAAAUGGUUCUUAUACAUCAAGAUCUGAGUGCCAGCUCUCUUCAGUACCACUGGGAUGGCAUUGUUUCUAAUAACUUUGAGGGACAGAGCUAGCAUAUAUUAAUAUGAACUAAAUUGUUUAAAAUAUAUUUCCAAUUCAAAUUUAAUACUACAGGGUUUUUUUCUUACUCGAUUUUGACUUGUUUUUCUUUUCUCUAACACUUAAAAUUUUGGUCUCCAAAAAGAUUAACCAUUUCCUUCCUCAUCCUACAAUAUACAGUAGCAAAAUUUAAAUACCGGUAUUCUUACUAUUUUAAUGGCUGAGUUCAGUUUAAGAUCAUUUUGCUGUUCUCUUUGUCUUAAGUCUUUAACAAACAGAUUGUACGUGCUUUGUGAACAUCUAAGGGUUAAGAGCUAUGUAAAAAAUCCCUUGAAACAACUUUUUAUGAUUAUUACCAAUUUUAUAUGAAAUUAGGUUUAUCUGUUGAUAUCUGUGCCCAGUUGUAAUUUUUUUUACUUCUUAAUACAAAUUUAUUUUUGUUUACAGAAGUCAUUUACACGGUUUGAAGUCGAAACUUUAUUUUACGUUGUGAAAGUUUAUUUAUUUUGAGAGAGAGAGAGAGAGAGAACAUGAGUGAAUGCGCACCAGCCAGUGGGGCAGGGGCAGAGAGAGAGCGAGAGUGAGAGCGAGAGAGAGAAUCCCAAGCAGCCUCCACGCUGUCAGUGCAGAGCCCGAUGUGGGGCCAGUCUCAUGAACUGUGAGAUCAUGACAUAAGCCCAGGUCAGACAUUCAGCCGACAGAGUCACCCAGGUGCCCCUCCAAACUUGAUUUUAAAAACUACAUUCUGAGAAAACCCACUUCCAUCCCUUUAAACUGUAGCCCUUAGCAACCACUUUCAGUGGUUUGUGGUUUUUCUUUUUUUCUUUUUGUUAGUUUAGACCAGAGUCCAUUUUAUCAGGGAAUCAGCUUGUUAUUUAUAUAUUAGUUCUAUUGUUUUUCUUUUUCCUAAUUCAUUAACUGUCCUUCUAUAUCUCGUGUUUUCUACCAUAUGCUUUAUUGAAUUUAUUUUCCGAGUUGGAUGUUUGAUUUUCCUGCUUUUACUUUCCUCAAUUGUAGUAUUUAAAGCUAUGAACAUCCCUAUUACCCAUGUUAUGUGAGGUUUAUUAUUAUUAUUUUUUUUUUGGAAAUUUUGCAUUGAUUUAAUUUCUCCCAUUUAUUUUAUACUUUUUAUUAAAAAAACAUUUUUUAAUGUUUAUUUAUUUUUGAGCGAGAAAGAGACAGCAUGUGAGUAGGGGAGGGGCAGAGAGAGAGGGAGAUACAGAAUCUGAAGCAGGUUCCAGGCUGUGAGCUGUCAGCACAGAGCCCAGCGCGGGGCUCGAUCUCACAAACCUUGGGAUCAUGACCUGAGCCGAAGUCAGAUGCUUAACUGACUGAGCCCACCCAGGUGCCCCUAAUUUCUCCCAUUUAAUAGAACAUUUUCAAAUGUCCUCUAUGUUUCCCAGCCUGCUUUGCAGUUAUGUUGGCCAUGUGACUGGUUUUAUCCAGUAGAGGGUGAACAGUAGUAUGUUUCACUUCUGGAUGAAGGCAGUGGAGUUGACAGUAUUCCCCUGCCUAUGUUCUUUCUCUUCUCUCUCUGAGUGGCUAGAAGUGAAAGACUCCAUCAUGGUGCAAUUGUAUAGGAAGGUGCCCGCAUUUCUGAUUUACUGCUCUGAGGAAGGGUUGGCAAACUUUUUCUAUACAGGGCCUGAUAAUAAAUAUUUUUGAUAUGGGCCAUACUAUCUCUGUUGCAAAAACUCAACUCUGUUAUUGUAGCCAUAGGAAUACAUAAAUGAAUGGGUAUGGCUGUGUUCCAACUAAACUUCAUUUAUAAAGAUGGAGCCUGGCCAGAUUUGGCCCGUGCAUCAUAAUUUGUUAACCCCUGGGUUAGAGGAAAGACCCUCAGGAUAGCUGUCCAAACUGCAUUCGAUCUCUUCAAAGAUGACAAGUAAAUUGUACCGUAUUAGGUCACUGAGUUUUGGGAUUGUUUGCUACAGUAGAUAACAACAUUUCCUCUAGAGGGAGAUACAAGGAAGAAUCUGAGAAUCAGAUUUAGUGAUUUGCUCAAGAGCCAUAGCUAGUCUUUGACAAACCUGUAUCUACACAGUCAGCGCUAAAGUUCAUGUUUUCCCAUGACAUUCCAUUGCAUCUCUAUCUUCUUUACUCUUUCCAUUCAAGACAUUUUAGACAAGAGAGAUUGAAUGAUAUGCCACAAAUCAUACAGCUCGUUAGAACUGUAGCAGUUUAUUGUCUAAAAACUGUUUACUUGUUUCCUCUCUUACGUAUGGGGAAAAUGUAUUUCCCUGAAACUUGGUCUGUGGGAUUUGCUUUGGUCUCAGAGUGGAAAGAGUGUAGUUUGUGGCCCCUCAUAGAUUAGCUUGGCCUUGUGACUUGCCUUAGCCAAUGAUACGAUAGAAACCCGAUGCAAGUAGAAAUGUGAACCGUGUGCCUAUAAGCGAGCUGGUCUUCUGGCAUCUUUGUCGUUGCCCUGGCUGGCUUCUGUUUCUUUAGCCGGGCUCCACAAUGUGAGCACACAUAGAUCAGACUUGGGCCCCUGCAACAAGGGAACAAACCAGGCCGGAGUCUCAGAUUAAAGCAGAGCUACUCUGCCAAACUCAGCCUCAGUCAUGGAUGCGUAAGUGAAAAUAAAUGAUUGUAAUUUUAAUCCACUGAGUUUGGAGGUGGCUCUAUUACAAGGAAUUAUUUUGACAAUGUGAAACUCAUAAAGGCAGAGACCCUCCCCACCAACAAAAACGUUUUCUGAAUCCUUUCUAUGGUUUCCAUGGAGUAGUCUUUGAUUGACACUUUCAUAGACCCUUGAAUUUAAAAAUAUUUCCAUUAUAAGUUCCUCCUUCUUUUAUAUACUAUCCCUUUUUUCACUGUGAUAAUGAGUUGUAUUGAUUUGAUUUUCCUAUACAUUUUAACAACCAGCUACAAUUCACCUUUCUAUUAUCUAGAAAUAAAUAAGCAGGGUUGAAAUAAAAGAGACGAGAACCCACAUCCUCUCUCGUUUAAAACUUAGGUGGCAGUUAAAGGCACUUGUUUAAUCCAGAAAAGCAACCAGUUGAAACUAGCUAUUAAUAUGUCAAUCUACCCACUAACUGUAUUCUUAAAAUGGGAAGAAAAUAGCAUCUGACUUCCUUCUCCCCCUUUUUUCUCCUUCUCUCCUGUACACCCCAACACAGACAAAGCUGUAAGUUCUACAGUAUGAUCCCCAGAAUUGAUAGCAAAGAAAACAGCUUUGGUCCGUCUUAUUCUUCUAGGGAAUUGGUAUUUUCCUUAACUAGUACUGAGUUACGUAGGCAGAGGCACAGAGAGUGGUCAGAGAAUCCUCAGGAAGGCUGGAGACUUUUGUGAGACAAAGAUUGAUGGAUUGUUUGAAGCCCAUAGCUAGGCUGAUCUGUCUCUUCCAAGAAGAUUGUUACAUAAGCAGCAAAACUAGACUCGCAAACAGAAAAAUUGCAUUUUGAUACACUAUUCAGUUCUCUGACCUUUCUGUGAAAGAGACUGGCGGAUAAACAAAUGGUAAUUUGUACUUGAACCCCAUCAUGCAAUUCAGUUUUUGCUUAUGCUCUCCAUUUUUUUUUUCUGCUUUCCAACGGUUCAUUUAAAGUAAUAUGCUUGGCUUAUUUUAAAAAGAGUCAUUAUGUAUUUCUUCUCUGAACCCUUCUUAGGUCACCUUGCUGCUAAUUGAGACCACAAGACAAUUCCCCUCUUAAUUGUUUCUUUGUUUGUGCCGUGAUUCCACAUCACUUCUUUUCUUGUUUUUAAUUAUCGGGUUGAGAGGUAACAGAUAUUCUUUUGGUCUGCAUUAAAGAGGUCAGGUGUAGUAAUAUGAUCUUUUAAUGCUUUUGUUUGCCAACUAUUGAUUCCUUGUCUGUAAGUGUUAUUACCCUCUCUCCCCUACACAGACGUUCCCUCUUCCUGAGGUGUCCGAAAUUGCGCCACCCCCCCCCCCCCAAGGAUUUC